rnacentral:rRNA from 1 species
GAUGAACGCUAGCGGCAGGCCUAAUACAUGCAAGUCGAACGAGAUUGUUGUAGCAAUAUGACAUGAAAGUGGCGCACGGGUGCGUAACACGUAUGCAAUCUACCUCUAAUAGGGGAAUAGCUUCGAGAAAUCGGAAUUAAUACCCCAUAACAUAAUUAAGUGGCAUCAUUUGAUUAUCAAACCUCCGGGGAUUAGAGAUGAGCAUGCGCAACAUUAGCUAGUUGGUAAGGUAAUGGCUUACCAAGGCUACGAUGUUUAGGGGUCUGAGAGGAUGAUCCCCCACACUGGUACUGAGACACGGACCAGACUCCUACGGGAGGCAGCAGUAGGGAAUAUUGGUCAAUGGAGGAAACUCUGAACCAGCCAUGCCGCGUGCAGGAUGACGGCCCUCUGGGUUGUAAACUGCUUUUAUACGGGAAGAAAAAAUACUACGUGUAGUAUAUUGACGGUACCGUAAGAAUAAGGAUCGGCUAACUCCGUGCCAGCAG